GACAGAGGUGCCGAGCGUUAGGCGGAAUCACUGGGCUUAAAGCGUGUGUAGGCGGGUCCGUAAGUACCUUGUGAAAUCCCAUGGCUCAACCAUGGAACUGCUUGGUAUACUGCGGAUCUUGAGCCACCUAGGGGCAUGUGGAACUUCCGGUGGAGCGGUGAAAUGCGUAGAUAUCGGAAGGAACGCCGGUGGCGAAAGCGACGUGCUGGACCUCUUCUGACGCUGAGGCGCGAAAGCCAGGGGAGCAAACGGG
rnacentral:rRNA from 1 species